rnacentral:sRNA from 1 species
UAUGGAAAUAGAGAGGAGCAAAAUCUGUCCGAUCUACUUUCCCCAAUCUGUGAAGUAGCUAAUAAUAUAGAACAGAAUGCUCAAGAGAAUGAAAAUGAAAGCCAAGUUUCAACAGAUGAAAGUGAGAACUCCAGGUCUCCUGGAAAUAAAUCAGAUAACAUCAAACCCAAAUCUGCUCCAUGGAACUCCUUUCUCCCUCCACCACCCCCCAUGCCAGGGCCAAGACUGGGACCAGGAAAGAUAAUUCCCCCACCACCUCCCAUAUGUCCAGAUUCUCUUGAUGAUGCUGAUGCUUUGGGAAGUAUGUUAAUUUCGUGGUACAUGAGUGGCUAUCAUACUGGCUAUUAUAUGGUAAGUAAUCACUUAGCAUCUUUUCCUGACAAUUUCUUUGUAGUUAUGUGACUUUGUUUUGUAAAUUUAUAAAAUACUACUUGCUUCUCUCUUUAUAUUACU